GGGACUCGAUCCCAGGACCCUGAGAUCAUGACCUGAGCCGAAGGCAGCGGCUUAACCCACUGAGCCACCCAGGCGCCCCACUAAUGGUAUUGUUAAGCAAAAUUUGUAGAGGCUCUUCCAAUAAUCCCACCAAAAGCACUGCCAUUAGUUUUCCUACAUUUUAGAUCUACCUCUUUGGAACCUAUAAACUCUUACCUUUUGAGAUAAUCACAGGAUGGCCAAUGGCGGGCUUCUUUCGAUCUACAAAUGGUAAAAGGAGAUAUACUUAAAUAUUGCAUAGGCCCAAUUGCUUCUGUUGAGAAUAACCACGCUUUAGUAGAACAAUCUUUCCACAGUGCCUUCCUGGGAGACAAAGAUCUAAAGCGUCAUACCUUGCAGUCCAGAGAUUUCAUCUGUUGGAAAAGACAGCUACAGAAAGACUCUCUUCAACCCUGUGGAAAGGCCCCUUUCAGAUUUAUUUUUUAAACUAAUAAUCUCUCCACCCAACAUGGAGCUCGAACUCACAACCCCGAGAUCAAGAGUUGCACACUCCUCUGACUGAGCCAGCCAAGCAGCCUCCCGUGUGUCACAUCUAACGAAAGCACCAGACCCUGACUAGAUCUGCACAUCCCAUGAGUACCUGGAAAAAAAGAUUUCCAGGAAUUGAAGCAGACGACAGCUGAAGGAGACAGCUUUCCCAAGAUGAUUGGACCAGACCUGUAUACCUUUUUCUCGAUGUUGCUUCUUACCUUAUUUCCUCCCUUUCUUUCUAAUCUAUUGCAAAAAGGGAGCCUUUCUGGCUGUUGGAUCUGACACCAGAAACUUCGAUUUGUUCUUCCCUAUUUAUUAUUUGUUUCCCUGCAUCCAAGGGAAAUACAAAUAAGCUAACUCCUCUUUGCAAGGCUUUUUUAAAAAAGAUUUUUGUUUAUUUGAGUGAGAGAGCGCAAAAGUGAGUGAGCAGGGAGAGGCAAAGGGGAAAGGAAAAGGAAUCUAAAGCAGAAUCUGCACUGAAUAUGGAGCCCUACUCGGGGCUGGAUCCCAUAACUGCAAGAUCAUGACCAGAGCCAAAACCAAGAGUCUGAUGCUCAACCAACUGAGCCAUGUAGGUGCCCCUGCAAGGCUUUUGGAAAAGACCCCUUUAGCCUUGCAGAAGUUCUGCUCAUCUUGUUCUGUGUAAUCUUUUUUUUUUUUUAAAGAUUUUAUUUAUUUAUUUGACAGAGAUCACAAGUAGGCAGAGAGGUAGGCAGAGAAAGAGGAGGAAGCAGGCUCCCUGCUGAGCAGAGAGCCCGAUGCGAGGCUUGAUCCCAGGACCCUGGGAUCAUGACCUGAACUGAAGGCAGAGGCUUUAACCCACUGAGCCACCCAGGUGCCCCUGUAUAAUUGUUUUUUAAAAGAUUUUAUUUUUAAAUAAUCUCUACACCCAGUGUGGGGUUCAAACUUACAACCUUGAGAUCAAGAGUCAGACUCUCAACUGACAAAGCCACCCAGGCACACCUUUAUAAUCAGUUUUAAGCCUUAUACCUAUUGCCUCUCAAACAUUCGUAGAAAUAACGUGCCCAGUAGGGUCAUGCUAGCUCAGCACUUUGAGAUAAUCUUCAACAUUUAUCUCAGACGGGAAAUGCCUGACAGUUCUCCCUCCUCCUCUUCCCUGUUACUCAAAUGUGACUUCACCGGUUUCCAUUCUACACACUUUCCCUCCCAUGGGGGACAUGACCACCAGGAAAGAUCCUUUCUGACACCAAGGGGAUGAAAACACUAAAUAUGAAAAAAAAAAAACCCAAAAAACAAAACCACCACAACACAACCCUGACUUUUGAUUAGCAGUGCUUUUGAGAAAGACCUUGAUCAAAAGGGGGAGAUGUGAAAAUAAAGGAAACUUUAUUUAAAAUGGAGUCAGGAAGCCCCGAAGGGGGAGCUCUCAUGCAUUACCUCUUGGUGGAAGAAGCAUUAUCCCACAAUUCCCAGCAGGAAGCAGCUUGCUUUUGGUAUCCCAGCCUGAGGAAGGAUGAAUUUCUCCUUGCCCAGCAACAGCCCAGUCAGUGAGAGCUCAAUGAAACAGUCCCUCCUCUUUUCCCCUGGGAAAGCAAGCCCCUCUCCUCUGUUCUCUGGGUUUGCCUAUGGAUUGCCACAGUUUGCUUGUUCUGAAUUACAAUUCCUCUGCUCUUCCUCAAUAAACUCAUUUUGCUGGUAAAAUAACGGCUCUUUUGUUUUUUAAGGUCAAUGGAAGCUGAAACCACCUGAGGUUUCUGGGAACAGACUGACGGGGUCUGAAAAACUGAGGUUUGCUGGGAAGGGAGGUGGUGUCUGGAGCUUUAAGUGUCGUUAUUGUGGGGGUUGGGAGAGAGCAAAACUCUCGCCAGUGACCCUCUUCCCACUACCCCACCCCUUUAAGCACUCAGGAUGUUAAUUGGCCUGGUGGCCUUUAUGUAAAAAUUAGUUUGCAAACUUCUGCCAGCAGAAAUCUGGGCAUAAUUAUACUGAGUUGUCCUUUUAUUUUUUUAUUGUGGGGGGGGGGAGGUACGAAUUUCAUCUAAGUUUCCUCUUUUCUGUCUUCCAUGCAGUAUUACUCAUCAGGUGGGACCAGUGGCCAGAGGUCUGCGUUUCCGCCUCCCCCAUUGCUGCUCCAUCCAUCCUGUGCCUGAAAUACAAGUAGGGUGGGUAACCACAUAGGCCCCAGUGCUCUCUAGGA
ensembl:lincRNA